UUGCUGAAGCAGGCAAGUUUUCCCUUGGUGGAAGCUUUAGAUCUUCCUCUUGCUCCACUGCUCUACCAUGCUAUCCUUCAUCUCCUCCAGUCGCCAUGGCUGCCACUCUAAUUUCAGGCAUUAACCACAAAAUAAUAAAGGAUGGAGAGAGGUUUUUGUGUUAAACCUUUGGGUUCAUUAUCUUUGUCUAUCAAUAUGGCUUAUGGAAACCUCCACAAAAUCUUUGCUUAUUUCUCCCUUUUAUCACAUGACACACCAUUCUAUACUCACGGCUAAGGCACUGCCCCCCCCCCCCCCCCCCCCCCCCCCCACCCCCUGUAAUCGUCCUUCUCUUAUCUACAAUAUAUAUACAGACAGUCAGCUCUCUUCCAUCAUUGUAUGUGAGUAGUGUGUUGCAUUACGGAACUAACUGAUCUAAGAGAGACAUGCGAUGGUAGGGUGCAUCGUCAAAGGUAUAUUAGUCAACUUAGCAUCGCAAGUCAACUAUAUCGAUGGAAAAUUAUCAAGUGCAGCUAUAAUUUCUUCUACUAUUCUCCCCGAAAAGCACCUAUCAGUAACAUCUACCCUGCGUAAAGAAACAAACGGAAAGAAAGAUAAGAAACAGAUGUCCCCUGCUCUUUUUGAAUCGCACAAAUCUUCCUUUCAAGUUGUAAUGAGAAUUGGAUUCGCUAAAGAGAGCAAAUGAAAAAGCUAACACCGAUACAAGGUCUGGAAUUUUCAAAACAUGUUAUGUAAUCAUGAUCAGUAACACAGAGCAUAUGACAUAGAAUGCGUGAGAUUUUGGCAAUGACAAAAUAAUAAUCUAUUCAACAAACUCCGGUACAAUAGAAAGAACUAAAGAUAUACACUUGCCUGUGGUAAGCACUCUGCUGUUUCAGGUGCGGAUGCUGAGAGUAUGCAUCGAGAAUUGUUGAGGUAAAGGUUAAAGAUCUGCUUCCAAUGCAGUCAACCUUGGCGAAGCAAAUAGUGGUUGGCACUAGUAUCUAUACAAAUUUUAAAAAGUCAUUCAGAAUU